rnacentral:misc_RNA from 2 species
AACGCACAUUGCGCCCUCUGGUAUUCCGGAGGGCAUGCCUGUUCGAGCGUCAUUACACCACUCAAGCCUCGCUUGGUAUUGGGCGCCGCGGUCAAACGCGCGCCUCAAUUUCACCGGCCGAGCACCCGAUCUCCGAGCGUAGUAGAAUUUAACGAUUUUCGCUCUCGAGUUAGGGGACUCUUGCCGUAAAGCCUUCUUUUUAAAGGUUGACCUCGGAUCAGGUAGGGAUACCCGCUGAACUUAA